GCGGUAGAGAUUCUUCGGAAUCUUGAGAGCGGCGUACGGGUGCGGAACACGUGUGCAACCUGCCUUUAUCUGGGGGAUAGCCUUUCGAAAGGAAGAUUAAUACCCCAUAAUAUACUGGAUGGCAUCAUUCGGUAUUGAAAACUCCGGUGGAUAGAGAUGGGCACGCGCAAGAUUAGAUAGUUGGUGAGGUAACGGCUCACCAAGUCUACGAUCUUUAGGGGGCCUGAGAGGGUGAUCCCCCACACUGGUACUGAGACACGGACCAGACUCCUACGGGAGGCAGCAGUGAGGAAUAUUGGACAAUGGGUGAGAGCCUGAUCCAGCCAUCCCGCGUGAAGGACGACGGCCCUAUGGGUUGUAAACUUCUUUUGUAUAGGGAUAAACCUAGAUACGUGUAUCUAGCUGAAGGUACUAUACGAAUAAGCACCGGCUAACUCCGUGCCAGCAGCCGCGGUAAUACGGAGGGUGCAAGCGUUAUCCGGAUUUAUUGGGUUUAAAGGGUCCGUAGGCGGAUCUGUAAGUCAGUGGUGAAAUCUCACAGCUUAACUGUGAAACUGCCAUUGAUACUGCAGGUCUUGAGUGUUGUUGAAGUAGCUGGAAUAAGUAGUGUAGCGGUGAAAUGCAUAGAUAUUACUUAGAACACCAAUUGCGAAGGCAGGUUACUAAGCAACAACUGACGCUGAUGGACGAAAGCGUGGGGAGCGAACAGGAUUAGAUACCCUGGUAGUCCACGCCGUAAACGAUGCUAACUCGUUUUUGGAGCGCAAGCUUCAGAGACUAAGCGAAAGUGAUAAGUUAGCCACCUGGGGAGUACGAACGCAAGUUUGAAACUCAAAGGAAUUGACGGGGGCCCGCACAAGCGGUGGAUUAUGUGGUUUAAUUCGAUGAUACGCGAGGAACCUUACCAAGGCUUAAAUGGGAAAUGACAGGUUUAGAAAUAGACUUUUCUUCGGACAUUUUUCAAGGUGCUGCAUGGUUGUCGUCAGCUCGUGCCGUGAGGUGUUAGGUUAAGUCCUGCAACGAGCGCAACCCCUGUCACUAGUUGCCAUCAUUAAGUUGGGGACUCUAGUGAGACUGCCUACGCAAGUAGAGAGGAAGGUGGGGAUGACGUCAAAUCAUCACGGCCCUUACGCCUUGGGCCACACACGUAAUACAAUGGCCGGUACAGAGGGCAGCUACACUGCGAAGUGAUGCAAAUCUCGAAAGCCGGUCUCAGUUCGGAUUGGAGUCUGCAACUCGACUCUAUGAAGCUGGAAUCGCUAGUAAUCGCGCAUCAGCCAUGGCGCGGUGAAUACGUUCCCGGGCCUUGUACACACCGCCCGUCAAGCCAUGGAAGUCUGGGGUACCUGAAGUCGGUGACCGUA
rnacentral:rRNA from 1 species